rnacentral:rRNA from 1 species
UACAGAGGGUGCGAGCGUUGUCCGGAAUCACUGGGCGUAAAGGGCGCGUAGGUGGCGACCCAAGUCGAUGGUGAAAGCUCGCCGCUCAACGGCGAGUCGGCCACCGAUACUGGGUUGCUGGAGCACUGUAGAGGCAGAUGGAAUUCCGGGUGUAGCGGUGGAAUGCGUAGAGAUCCGGAAGAACACCGGUGGCGAAGGCGGUCUGCUGGGCAGUUGCUGACACUGAGGCGCGACAGCGGGGGGAGCAAACAGG